rnacentral:rRNA from 1 species
UACGAAGGGGGCUAGCGUUGUUCGGAAUUACUGGGCGUAAAGCGCGCGCAGGCGGCCAAUCAAGUCAGGGGUGAAAGCCCGGAGCUCAACUCCGGAAUUGCCUUUGAAACUGAUCGGCUUGAGUACGGGAGAGGUGAGUGGAAUUCCCAAUGUAGAGGUGAAAUUCGUAGAUAUUGGGAAGAACACCGGUGGCGAAGGCGGCUCACUGGCCCGUUUCUGACGCUCAGGCGCGACAGCGUGGGGAUCAAACAGG